rnacentral:rRNA from 1 species
GCAUAUCAAUAAGCGGAGGAAAAGAAACUAGCUCUGAUUCCCUAGUAGCGGCGAGUGAGCGGGAAGAGCUCAAAUUUGAAAUCUGGCGUCCUUCGGGCGUCCGAGUUGUAAUCUAUAGAAGCGUUUUCCGCGCUGGACCGUGUCUAAGUCCCUUGGAACAGGGUAUCAAAGAGGGUGAUAAUCCCGUACUUGACACGACCACCAGUGCUCUGUGAUACGUUCUCUACGAGUCGAGUUGUUUGGGAAUGCAGCUCAAAAUGGGUGGUAAAUUCCAUCUAAAGCUAAAUAUUGGCGAGAGACCGAUAGCGAACAAGUACCGUGAGGGAAAGAUGAAAAGCACUUUGGAAAGAGAGUUAAACAGUACGUGAAAUUGUUGAAAGGGAAACGAUUGAAGUCAGUCGUGUUCAUUGGACUCAGCCAGUUCUUCUGGUCUAUUUCCUUUGAACGGGUCAACAUCAGUUUUGUCCGGUGGAUAAAGGUAUUAGGAAUGUGGCUCUUUCGGGAGUGUUAUAGCCUAGUAUUGCAUACACUGGGGGAGACUGAGGACUGCAGCUCGCCUUUUGGCCGGGGUUCGCCCACGUUCGAGCUUAGGAUGUUGACAUAAUGGCUUUAAACGACCCGUCUUGAAACACGGACC